rnacentral:rRNA from 1 species
CAUCGGCCACACCACCCUGAAUACACUCCAUCUUGUCUGAUCUCGGAAGCUAAGCAGGGUUGGGCCUGGUGAGUACUUGGAUGGGAGUCCUUGAACUUUUUGAAGCUUCUAUAA